rnacentral:rRNA from 1 species
UACGGAGGAUGCAAGCGUUAUCCGGAUUCAUUGGGUUUAAAGGGUGCGUAGGCGGACUAUUAAGUCAGUGGUGAAAUUUUGCAGCUUAACUGUAACAGUGCCGUUGAUACUGGGGAGCUAGGAUUUGGUUGCUGUGGGUGGAAUGUGUGGUGUAGCGGUGAAAUGCUUAGAGAUCACACAGAAUAUCGAUUGCGAAGGCAGCUCACAAAGCCAAGAUUGACGCUGAGGCACGAAAGUGUGGGGAUCAAACAGGA